UACGUAGGGGGCAAGCGUUGUCCGGAAUCAUUGGGCGUAAAGAGCGUGUAGGCGGUCCGGUAAGUCGGCUGUGAAAGUCCAAGGCUCAACCUUGGGAUGCCGGUCGAUACUGCCGGACUAGAGUUCGGAAGAGGCGAGUGGAAUUCCCGGUGUAGCGGUGAAAUGCGCAGAUAUCGGGAGGAACACCUAUGGCGAAGGCAGCUCGCUGGGACGUGACUGACGCUGAGACGCGAAAGCGUGGGGAGCAAACAGG
rnacentral:rRNA from 1 species